CUGUCUUCUCUACCCUGGGAGCAGCUCUCCUGCCUUGGCCCCUCACCCCUGAAAAUGUAUGCCUGCUCCAAGUUUGUCUCUACCCGCUCCCUGAUCAGGAGCACCUCUCAGCUGCUGAGUUGUCCGCUGUCUGCAGUGGAGUUGAAGCGAACACAGAUGCCAACAGCAGCUUGGCGGACCGGCGGCCUCUGACCUCACUUAUCCCUAGCCACAGCUUUCAAACCAGUACCAUUUCAAGGGACAUAGACACAGCUGCCAAGUUCAUUGGAGCUGGAGCUGCGACAGUUGGGGUGGCUGGCUCUGGGGCAGGGAUUGGGACUGUUUUUGGGAAUCUCAUCAUUGGCUAUGCCAGGAACCCUUCUCUGAAGCAACAGCUCUUCUCCUACGCUAUUCUGGGCUUUGCCCUCUCAGAGGCCAUGGGGCUCUUUUGCCUAAUGGUGGCCUUUCUCAUCCUCUUCACCAUGUGAAGCAGCUGUCUCCACUUCCACCUCCCAUGGUUCUUUUGUGUCUUGUCUGCCCUGUAUGUUCCUUUUCCCGUACCUCCCCAAGAAGCCUGGGGAAAGUGCUUGGCUCAGGGUUUGACAGAGAGAAGACAAAUAAAUACUGUAUUAAUAAGAAAAAAAAAAA